UUUUCUUGAUUUAAAAAGGAAUGUUUGAAAAAAAAACAAAAAAAUUUAAAAAUUUUUUUUAUUGUAUUUUUCAAUAGUUACUUAAUACAUAUGAAUAUAGAUUCUCUUUUAAAUUAAAAAAAUUUCGUUUGCUUUCACAGUUUUCAUUGUUUUUUUGCUGGGGGAGGCUAUAUGUCGUGUGAUGAACUAGUGCCAGCUGCCAGCAAAGUGCAGUAGGGCAAUUCUAGAGAUGAACAAGUGUUUUUUUGUAUUACAAAGAUCUUCUUGUAACAGUGAUAACUUAAAAAAUAAAUAACUUGAUACGUAUGUUCUCAAUUGAAGCUACUAGCAGUGAUUGACUACUAGUAGCUACCUUAGUAAUCCUCGAUGACGGAUGGACCGGAAUGAUGAUGACGACAGCGCCGAAUCACUCACCCCUACAACAAUAAGAUUAUCCAGUAAACGUGUCCUACCUAAGAUUUGUUGACAAUUGCAGAGUUGACUAGUUCCUUCGGUCUUCGCAUCGGAAGUGUCGUCGUUUUACAUAGCUAGCGAUGGAGAAUCCAACAAAUGAGCGUGGUUUCCUUACUGCACCUGUCGCUGUAACCUUCCACAGAGAGGAGAUGGUAUUUUAAGAGGAAGCGGUUACCUGGUAUUCCCUAGAACAAUUAAUACAUACCUAUAAGAAACAUUAUGUAACAUGCUACAUAAUAACUUGUGAGUGAAUUAAGAUGUACAUCUUUUGUCUUUGUUAAUAAAUUUACUCACCGUC